rnacentral:lncRNA from 1 species
CGGCGGCGAGGCGGCGAGCGGGCAGCUGGAGAGCAUCCUGAGCGACACCUCCCUGCCGUGGGGCCGGCGGAUGGCGGCGGCGUCGGUGGUGGAGAUGCGCCUGCUCGUGCGCCUCGCGGCCCCCGCCGUGCUCGUCUACAUGAUCAACUACCUCAUGUCCAUGUCCACGCAGAUCUUCUCGGGACACCUCGGCACGCUCGAGCUCGCCGCCGCCUCACUCGGCAACACCGGCAUCCAGGUCUUCGCUUACGGCCUCAUGGUAUGUACUACGCUCGCCACCCCCCGCCCGCCGCCGGUGGCGGCGCUUUUGUUUGUAUUUUUGUGAUGAUUGCUUCAUUUUAUUUAUUUACUAAUACUCGUACUGCUAUAUAUAUAUAUAUAUAUAUAUAUAUAUAUAUAUAUAUAUAUAUAUAUAUAUAUAUAUAUAUAUAUAUAUAUAUAUAUAUAUAUAUAUAUUCAACGGAUGAACGGAGUAGUAGUGGUUUUGGUUUUGGUUUUUUGUUGUCGUCCUCUUCCGAACUGUGCAUGCAUGCCCUGCGUCGUCCUGUCCUGCUGCUGCUGCUGGUCUCCAGCAUAUUCAUCAGUGAUGGUAGUAUCACAUAGAAAUGUUUGUAGCGAUAAUUGUUAAUUAGAUUAAUCAUAGAAUAGUUCGAACGGAGUCCAUGGAUAUAUAUGGAGUAUCCAACUUGUCUUACCUGUCCGACCGGUUUUCCCCUUUCCACGCAUAUAUAUGCGAAUCUAAUCGAUCGAUCUGCUGCCUCCGAUGCGUGCCCCAUGGUCCAUGGAUCACUUUGUAUUUUUUUUUUUUUUUUGAACACCUCAUGGAUCAUUUGAGCGCCAAGUAGGCAGGCAUGCAUGGUAGCUGAGCUGGUAAAAAUGAAAAAUAAUAUAAGUUGUCAUCGUUUUCCAUGCUGUCCAUGGCGGGGCCCGCCACAAGUUACAUGGAUGAAAAAUGUGAUUAGCUUUGUUUUCCCUUUGACAAACAAAGUCCUCAUUACAUGAUGACGCGCACACAGAAGUUACUACUGUCUCUGAAAGUUAUUGUUUAUAAGCCAUUGUUAUGUACUGUAUCGAACCGCCUUGCUUAUUUGGUUUAUAAGCUAUAGCAGAAGCUAAUGUUAGGUGAUUUAUUGGGAGGAAAAACCAGAUUCGGCUGAAAGACUUGAGCCGAUAAAGUCACGGUCCCACAGAUGAUGCCUGGCUUGUUUUUUCUUACACGUACCCUAUAUAUGAAGUACUCCUACAUACUUCUUCGAUACAGUACAUAACGAAUCCAGAAAAAAAGAAACCAACUGUAGCGACCGAUGCUAACCAAUCACUGUGUCAUAUGACUAAGGCCUCGUUCAGUUGGUAAUAUUUUUUGGAUUUUAGUAUUGUAACACUUUCAUUUAUAUUCGGUAAUUAUUGUCCAAUUAUAGACUAACUAGGCUCAAAAGAUUUGUCUUGUAAAUUACAGAUAAACUAUGUAAUUAGUUUUUGUUUUCUUCUAUAUUUAAUACUUCAUGUAUGUUCCAAAAGAUUCGAUGUGAUGAUAAAUCUAGCUUAAAAUUUUCAUCUAGCUGUAUAGAUAUAUAGGUGUGUGGCCAUUCAUGACCACACACAUACUCCUGCUAGCUUCUAGAGAGUAGAGACUACUACUAUGUGUCUAUGUCAUCACGUCUGCGACCAUCUCAAGACCAAAGGCUAUAUAUAUAUAUAGUACAGUAUUUGUAUAUAUUCGACGCACACUCCACAGGAAUGGAAUAGAAUACUCAUAUGAUGGGAUUGGAGUAGAUAGAUAGAUUCGAUUCAAUGCCCGGCCCGACACAGCCACAUGUCGUUGUGAAGCUGGGAAUUGUUCCCAUUUCACAACCACACUUUUUCUUCACUGAUAACUAGUCCUACGCGGAACGCCCGGUCGAAAUGAUAUAUGGUAGGCUGGUAGCUACCGCGCAACGUACGCCACCCACACGUCAAUAGAGAGAGCAGCUGCAUUGCACGUUGCACCUGGCGGGCGAACAAGAUGGCCUUUGCUUCCUCAUCCCUCCUCCUCCUCUUCCUUUCCUGCCCGCUACCGCUUUGCACAUUUAUACGUGUCAUCACGGCGUCCGUUUCUCUGAUGCCGACGUAGUCAUGUACGAGUACACGAGUACGUACCUCGAUAAUCUUGGUUGCAUGGACGACAACACUAGCUUUCAUCAUCUACGUAACGUGUUCGUAUCAAUCACUAGCUCUUCGUACGACCUGUGAUCCAUCAAACACCUACUACUAGUCCAAUUUCUUUUAUUAAUAAUAAUAACAUCUCAAAAGUGCCAUUUUUCUCAAUUUGGAAUGACGAAAUACUACUACAGUCAUCGAUCGAGAGGUAGCUAAUAAGCUAGCUAGUUAUUAACUGUGUUCAACUAUACAUAUAUAACUGCAUUGAAUUGAACGAACAAAGCAAACAACUGAUCAGAACUGACGAGGUGCUCGUCGCCGGUGCGAUGCAAUUGCAAUUUGCAAAUGUGCACAGCUGGGCAUGGGGAGCGCGGUGGAGACGCUCUGCGGGCAAGCCUACGGGGCGCACAAGUACGACAUGCUGGGCAUCUACCUGCAGCGCUCCACGAUCCUCCUCAUGGCGACCGGCGUCCCACUCGCCGUCAUCUACGCCUUCUCCCGCCCGAUCCUCGUCCUCCUCGGCGAGUCCCCGGCGAUCGCGUCCGCCGCCGCCGUCUUCGUGUA